rnacentral:rRNA from 1 species
UGGAUACUAGGUGUAGGAGGUAUCGACCCCUUCUGUGCCGCAGUUAACACAAUAAGUAUCCCACCUGGGGAGUACGACCGCAAGGUUGAAACUCAAAGGAAUUGACGGGGGCCCGCACAAGCAGUGGAGUAUGUGGUUUAAUUCGAAGCAACGCGAAGAACCUUACCUGGGCUUGACAUCCCUGGAAUCGAGUAGAGAUACUUGAGUGCCUUCGGGAAUCAGGUGACAGGUGGUGCAUGGCUGUCGUCAG